AUAGUACUUCCUCUGUCUUAAAAUUCUUGUCUUAAAUUUGUCUAAUUAUGAAUGUAUCAAGUCAUUUUUUAGUAUUAGAUAUAUUCGUAUUUAGACAAAUUUAAGACAAAAAUUUUAAGACGAAGAGAGUAUUAU
rfam:Triticum urartu cultivar G1812 contig1008306, whole genome shotgun sequence.